UACGUAGGGGGGCAAGCGUUGUCCGGAUUUAUUGGGCGUAAAGAGCGUGUAGGCGGCCUGAAAGGUCAGCUGUGAAAACUCGAGGCUCAACCUCGAGACGUCGGUUGAAACCAUCUGGCUAGAGUCCGGAAGAGGAGUGUGGAAUUCCCGGUGUAGCGGUGAAAUGCGCAGAUAUCGGGAAGAACACCCGUGGCGAAGGCGGCACUCUGGGACGGUACUGACGCUGAGACGCGAAAGCGUGGGGAGCGAACAGG
rnacentral:rRNA from 1 species